UACGUAGGUGACAAGCGUUGUCCGGAUUUACUGGGCGUAAAGAGCGCGCAGGCGGUCGUUCAAGUCGAGUGUGAAAGCCCCCGGCUCAACUGGGGAGGGUCAUUCGAUACUGAUCGACUCGAAGGCAGGAGAGGGAAGUGGAAUUCCCGGUGUAGUGGUGAAAUGCGUAGAUAUGCGGAGGAACACCGAUGGCGAAGGCAAUCCCCUGGGCCUGCACUGACGCUCAUGCACGAAAGCGUGGGGAGCAAACAGG
rnacentral:rRNA from 1 species